rnacentral:rRNA from 1 species
UACCAGCACCCCGAGUGGUCGGGACGUUUAUUGGGCCUAAAGCAUCCGUAGCCGGUUCUACAAGUCUUCCGUUAAAUCCACCUGCUUAACAGAUGGGCUGCGGAAGAUACUAUGGAGCUAGGAGGCGGGAGAGGCAAGCGGUACUCGAUGGGUAGGGGUAAAAUCCGUUGAUCCAUUGAAGACCACCAGUGGCGAAGGCGGCUUGCCAGAACGCGCUCGACGGUGAGGGAUGGAAGCUGGGGGAGCAAACCGG